rnacentral:rRNA from 1 species
UUACACAAAUAUGAAGGCGGGCUGGAACCUCUCGGGGUUACAGCCUUGCUGAAUUAUUCACCCUUGUCUUUUGCGUACUUCUUGUUUCCUUGGUGGGUUCGCCCACCACUAGGACAAACAUAAACCUUUUGUAAUUGCAAUCAGCGUCAGUAACAAAUUAAUAAUUACAACUUUCAACAACGGAUCUCUUGGUUCUGGCAUCGAUGAAGAACGCAGCGAAAUGCGAUAAGUAGUGUGAAUUGCAGAAUUCAGUGAAUCAUCGAAUCUUUGAACGCACAUUGCGCCCUUUGGUAUUCCAAAGGGCAUGCCUGUUCGAGCGUCAUUUGUACCCUCAAGCUUUGCUUGGUGUUGGGCGUCUUGUCUCUAGCUUUGCUGGAGACUCGCCUUAAAGUAAUUGGCAGCCGGCCUACUGGUUUCGGAGCGCAGCACAAGUCGCACUCUCUAUCAGCAAAGGUCUAGCAUCCAUUAAGCCUUUUUUUCAACUUUUGACCUCGGAUCAGGUAGGGAUACCCGCUGAACUUAAGCAUAUCAAUAAGCGGAGGAAAAGAAACCAACAGGGAUUGCCCUAGUAACGGCGAGUGAAGCGGCAACAGCUCAAUUUGAAAUCUGGCUCUUUUAGAGUCCGAGUUGUAAUUUGCAGAGGGCGCUUUGGCUUUUGGCAGCGGUCCAAGUUCCUUGGAACAGGACGUCACAGA